UAACUUGUUUUCCAUCUUCGUCAUACAUGCCAAGCAAGCAGCUGAUUAAGUCUUGGUGGGCAGAGGCUCCAUUUUUCUCCUGUUCAAUCUUCUUCAUGUGCACAAUAUCCUUCAACAUGUUCUGGAUCCUUGCACUUUCUCUGAGGCUGCUGUUGUAGCGAGUGAAAGGAACGUUAACUGGGACUGACCACAUUCCUUCAAUCAAUGCUUUGAAUGAGGUUAGGAAUUGAUCUCUUUGUUUUCCACGCUCAAUACCAAACAGAAGAGAGCAAAUUAUGUUGAAUGUAAGCUUCUUCAUUAGGGGUAAUACCUAUCAGACAAAACAAAAAUAAAUAGUGGCCCCAUAUUCUUUUUCCAACUUUGGUUUGAUUUUAAUUAUCCCAUAAAAAGAUUUUGCUUAGCAUGUUUGUAUUAGUUUCUAUUUCCUCAUAAUCAAUUAUGUCAUCCAUAAACCACUCAAAGAAGCUUCUCCUCAAAAUUGAUUGUCUUUGGAAUCAAUUGUUUUUUUUUAUAGGCAAAUGUUAGUGGUUAGUUGUUAGUAAGUUAGAAAAUCCCAUCAAAUUUCCCUUCCAGGAUUCGAACCCUGGACCUUCCCCUUCCCAACCCUUAUGUCCCUAGCUCUUACCACUUGAGCUAACCAUCGGGAGACCUUUCGAAUCAAUUGUAAGAGACAUUAAUGUCCCAUUGUUUGAUUUGCUUCUUUUCCCUCUCCAAAUGGCACAAACAUUGGUAUAUGCAGAAUCAUAUGUAAGGCUAUAAAUCUAAUUUGNNNNNNNNNNNNNNNNNNNNNNNNNNNNNNNNNNNNNNNNNNNNNNNNNNNNNNNNNNNNNNNNNNNNNNNNNNNNNNNNNNNNNNNNNNNNNNNNNNNNGUCUUGGUGGGCAGAGGCUCCAUUUUCUCCUGUCAAUCUUCUUCAUGUGCACAAUCUCCUUCAACAUGUUCUGGAUCCUUGCACUUUCUCUGAGGCUGCGGUUGUAGCGAGUGAAAGGAACGUUAACUGGGACUGACCACAUUCCUUCCAUCAAUGCUUCGAAUGAGGUUAGGAAUUGAUUUCUUUGUUUUCCACGCUCAAUACCAAACAGAAGAGAGCAAAUUAUGUUGAAUGUAAGCUUCUUCAUUAGGGGUAAUACCUAUCAGACAAAACAAAAAUAAAUAGUGGCACCAUAUUCUUUUUCCAACUUUGGUUUGAUUUUAAUUAUCCCAUAAAAAGAUUAUGCUUAGCAUGUUUGGACUAGUUUCUAUUUCCUCAUAAUCAAUUAUGGCAUCCAUAAAACACUCAAAGAAGCUUCUCCUCAAAAUUGAUUGUCUUUGGAAUCAAUUGUAAGACAUUAAUGUCCCAUUGCUUGAUUUGCUUCUUUUCCCUCUCCACGUGGCACAUACAUUGGUAUAUGCAGAAUCAUAUGUAAGGCUAUAAAUCUAAUUUGGAAUUUAUGUCACUCCAAUAACGUAACAACUCUGUCUAUAGUUAACAAUUUCAUUACAACAUUCAUUUUACAUGAAAACUGUGGUUUUGUUGCUAACUUGAAAAGCAACAUUUCGUUGCUUUUGAAGGGGAGUAAAUUCUGUUAGACGUAUAUUUACAAGUUCUGACUACAAUUAGUUUUAUAGUACCAGGUUAAUUCAAAAUCAUUUUUCCAAAAUCUAAUCCAAACAUACACUCACACUGUUUAGUUUGUAUUCAGAUUUUCGCUGAACUUAAUGUGAAUUCAUGUUAAACUCAACGUGUUCAAAUCUUGGUUCUCCGAUCCAUAUUUGAAAUACUUAAAAUUACGUUUGCGUUUGGACCAAUGCUAAAACAAGCAUACACUUAGAGCAUGUUUGGAUUAACUUCUUUUUCCUCAAAAUCAAUUUUGGAAUUGAAAAGCUACUCAUAGAAGCUUCUCCCAAGAAUUGAUUUUGACUUCAGAAUCAAUUGUAGAAGGAUUUUAAAGCACGGAAUUAAUCUUACAUAUAUUAACAACUUACCUUAACCUGUUGUUUCCCUUGCCAAUUCAUCUCAAUGUGUCUCCUAACUUCUUCAUCCAUUUUCCCUACAUAUCUCUUCAAGGAAUCUGGCUUCAAGAAUGAUAUAAGUGCACCUCUGACUCUGCUGUGAUCUACACCACUCAGUUCCAGCAAGCUCCUGUCACCCAAGAUCAUUUUGAUGGACUGUGUUUGCUGGUUAGCAAUGGUGUCACCACCACUUGAGAACAUGAACUUGUUAGCAGCUUGUCCAUAGAUCAAAACUGUUGGUUUUCCAAAGAGGCUUAGUUUUGAAACAGGACCAUACUUCUUGAUUCUUUCUCCAACCCAGUUUUCUGCAGUGUUGGCACGCAUAGCGCGAAGAAGGCCAAGGCUUUGACCAAUAAUUGGUAUUCCUAGUGAACCUGGAGGGAUCCUUUUGGAUGGUUUGCUUCUUGUUCUAAGCAGAAGGAGUAUUGGAAUGAGUAAGAGGAAACUAACAAGAAAAACACUCAUGGCUCAGAUCUUCUUCUUCUUUUCAGGUUCUGAGAAAGUCCAUGAUUGAAGGGGGAGUCUGGUUAGUGGUUUAUGAUAUGGUGUGUUGACUUUAUAAUAGCAUGUUUAGUUUGAUGGUGAAAUGCUUUGAAAUUAUUUAUGGUUAGAAACAUUAAGUCUUAGCUUCCAACGUGUCUUGGGAAACCAAAUAUGCUUUGAUAUCUAAUUGAAGUGCCCAAAUGAAAACAGUUCUGAUAGCACUAUAGCAGCUGGCUGUGUACAUUGUCUAACCUCAUAAUCUAAAAACAUAAAAAUCAUAUGGUUUUAUUUAUCAUUUCCCUUUGUUUGGCAACAAAGGCAGAUUUACUAGGUAUUCAACCACUAUAUCAGUAAUGGCAUUUCUAGUUUUGCAAAUGCUUUGACAUCCAAAAUUAAUUAAUUAAGUGAAGAGGAUGGCAUGUAUGAAUUACUUCUAGGAACUUUUCAUCUCCAAAAGCUUCUUCUAGGAACUUUUCCCAAACUUGAAAAACUAGAGGAUUUCCAAACACAGUGAAAUUCUACAAAUAACAAAAUUGAUUCGUCAGUAAUUUUAAACAGAUAUGUACAUUUACAUUUUGAACUUGUUUUUUGUUAUAAAUUUAUUGAUUUUUCAAUAUUUAAUUUCGAAUAUUAUUCAUUAAUAUUAAUUAAUUCCUCCUAAAGCUACUUUUGUUUUUUUCGAAAAAAUCAUUUUUAGUAGCGCAUAUGUCUGGUUUCAAAUUCACAUAUCCUAGUUUUAUGUCACUAUGUCUAAGAUUUAUCCAAAAGAUGACAUAUAAGGAAAAUUAUUCUUUUGUUGAGUGAUUUGAUUCCUCUGUCGCAUUGGUGUAUCUGUUGUUAGCUUUGUCUUCUUUAUAUUUGAUUGCUAAGUGUGAUUCCCUUUUUGGGGGUGAUAAAUGAAAUCUUUUAUCCAACAAAAUAAAUCUGGAUCUUAAAAAUAAUACAUAGAAACUUGUGCUGAAAUAUACAAAAAUUUGUUUUAGAGUAGGAAAUUUUCUUAGUUCUUGUGUUGAAUGAAAUAUACAAUAAAUAAGAACAUUUUGUAUAAGUGGAAUAAACAAAGACAGCAGAGGUGGACCUUGGAGGGAUGAACUAACUGAUUUGAGUGUGUCUCAGUAUAUUCAUAAUUCAUUGGUCUCUAGUGACAAUUUUUUUAAACAUGUUUUCUUUCUAUUUGAUGUAAUUAAGAAUACUGUGAUGUGCAUCUCAUCUAAUUUCUUUUCUUUGUAAUUUUUUUUUUACAAUCAAUUCAAGGAAAAAUUACUCAUGUCAAGAUAGUCUGGAAAUACCAGAAAUUGGGAGUAGCCGGCACAAUACAAAAUAAAGAACCAUUCUGUCUAAAGCACUGAAAACGAUUGUUCAUUUUCUAAUCCCUUUGAGGAAAAUUAUUGUUCAUUUUCUAAUCCCUUUGAAGGCAUUGCAACUUGCAAGCUAGUUAUAUUUUAAAGAAAGUUUGAAUCACGACUUUCAUAAUUACAUCAGCAUAACAAGUAUCUUAGUCAUAUUUUACAGAAAGUUAACAUCACAAGUUUCAUAAUUAGAUCAGCCCAACAAGAGCAAAUUUUUGGAUAUAUGUUGGCCCCGAUGCAAAUGGACAUUAGCACGUACUACAAAGAAAAAAAUGAGCAUAACUUUUAUAAAUUGCAUGAAAGUCUAUUUACAUUAUACUCAACUGUUAUCCAAGUCAAGUCAGUUAUAUUUUAGUUCCUGAACAACAGAACCUAAUCUAAAUCUUGACAAUGCAAUAUAUUCAGAUUUCAGAUGAAAGGUAGAAUAACACCAAGCAAAUGAAAAUGUGCAGAGAAGUCAAGUAAUAAGUCUCAAUACAUUUUCAUUUGGAAUUUUCCUCACGUUUAUCAAUCAUGCAACAAAUAAAUACAUGUGUUGCAUACAGAGCAACCUCAAUGCUUAGUUACUGUUGCAUUAUUGGACUAACAUUACUAUCAAUAUCAUGUGCAUGAUAGUCAUCAAAUAGUUAUUCCGGAUAUUUGUUCUUCACUUCCUUCAUUCUGGUUGUGAAUUUUGGCGGAAGAAACAACAACAAUAAUGCACCAAUCUAACAUGUCUCACUCUUAUAGCAUGUUUGGAUCAACUUCUCUUUCAUCAGAUUCAAUUUUGAAACCCAGAAAGUUCUUAUAGAAGCUGCUUUGCAGAAUUGAUUAUGUCUUCAAAAUCAAUCCUAGAAGUGUUUCCAAACAUGCUUUUACUCAGUCUCUAAUGGAAAAGCCUUCUGGUUUUAGUGUAUGUUUGAAUAUGAUUAGGUUUUAGAGAAAAACUGUUUUCUCCUAAAAGGCCUUCUCCUAAUAAUAUUUAUAUUUAUUUUGAAGUUUGAACACAAGAUAAGUACACUAAUCUUUGAACAUAGACUUCAUUUUGGUACAUCUAUUAGAAGGCCAGCAGUUUUUUUUGGCCAUUAAAGACCUGCAGUUAUUGAAAUGGGGAAAUUACUAUUCUUACCGUAUGUUUCUCUCCCUAAACCAGCUACAUGCUUACAGAAAUUAAUUUUCAGAAGCAGGUGCACUGAUGCAAGGAGAGAAACAUUUUUGUUCGAAUACUAAUCCUCGUGAAAUGGCAUCUAAGGAGAGAAACAUUUUUGUUCAAUUGGCAAUCCUUGAGUGGGUUCUGGCAUUGGAUCCCUUGUGAAGAAAUUAUCUGAGAAGCGUAGCUUCCAACUGAAUUUGGUCACAAGGUAAUGAAUUGUCACAAGAAUCCAGGCAAGAUCAUACCCUGGACAUAUUCUUGCACCCGCUCCAAAUGGUAUGAAGUUGUAGGGUGGGAUGGAAUAAUGGAUGCUUGGUUUUCAAAUCCACUUGGAUCAAACUUUGAUGGUUCUGGGAAAAUGUUGUUAUCCAUGUGGGUCAUUGCUGUAACCAAAAGAUCUAGACAAAGAAAGGUUUUAAUCAGUAAAAUGAUUGCAUGGUGAGAAGUUCAUCAAAUUUGGAUUUUCUGCGGUAGCAUUUUCCUAAAUUCAUUACAGUCAGGGUUUCAUAACCAUCAGAUCAAAUUAGGACAUCUCAGAUUUUAUAGUCUGAUUUAAAGUGUACAAUCUUCUAUUUAAAUAUGAGUUGUCUAAUUUUAAUCUGACGGCUAUGGAGUUCUGACUACUAAAAAUUUUAAAAUAUCCAACUGCAAGAAAUCCAAAUCUGAGAUUCACCAAGAGUUUCACUUACCUGCCACCCUUUGGGUAUAAGGUAAAGGUAUCCACCAUAUUCAAUAUCUGUUUCAGCUUUUCUCAAGCCACCAAAUAGUGGAGGAACCAUCCUGAGAGUUUCUUGUGCUACUCUUCAGGUGUACUUCAUCUAUGUAAGAUUUUCCCAUGUGAGUGGCUCUCCUAACAUGUUGCCUUUUGCUAUCUCUUCCUGUUCUGCAACCACAUAACAAAACAUAAAGAUCUCUUUGCCUUUGCUUUCAAACAUGAAGAAUCACUAGAAGCAUUUUCAGUAAUCAAGUGCAUUUUUCUCAUUUAUACAUAUCAACCCACAAGAGUUCACCAAUCAAUCUCUUUGCCUCUCACAAACACACACAAAUACACUCACAACAGAACACACACUUCAAUGCAUCAUCAGAGUAUCUGAGAUAAGGGGACAACUAUUGGUGGUUUAAAGAAAUAUACUAGAAUAUUGAUUUGACACCAAAUCUUGACCCAAAACCUUAAAGGAAUGAGCCUUUUUUGUCUUCGCACUUAUGUGGUCCUUAAUUAACCCAUUCUUAAUCGGAUUAGAGUCCUCUCAUGUCACAUGACAAUGUCAAAUGUAGCAUUGUGUGUAUCUCUCUUCAUAAAUAUUCAAAGGGUCCCACUCCCACCAAUUUAUACAUAUGAAGAGAGAGAGAUAUACACGAUUCAACAUGAGAAAAUAAGAUAGAGUUUAUGUUAGAAUAUAAUAUAAAACCAUUAAAGUGACCCUUACCCAACAGCUUAAGCUUUCUAUGGCCGAGAGGUCUAGAGUUCGAUCCUUCCACCCCUCACUUUCUAAUUAAAAAAAAAAUUCGAUCCUUCCACCCCUCACUGUCAAAUAACCAAUUAACCCAAAAGCUUAAGCUGUUGGGCUUGAAGCGUGGAUAACUGCACAGACCCACCUACCAUGUGCUUAAUUAAAUUCCACUUUUCCCAAAAGCUUAAGCUGUUGGGUAAGGGUCACUUUAAUGGUUUUAUAUUAUAUUCUAACAGUUUAUACAUGAGAGGAUCAUGAUCUUUCCUAACCAAUUCGAGACUUAUAUCACUCAUACUUAAAUUUCCAACACGCAUACCUUGAAGAAGUGCUUCAUGAAUAUCAGGUUCAUUCGCUAAGAGCCUGAUAAUGAAAGUGAUCAGAACAGCUGAAGUGCCAUGUCCAGCCACUAUGACAAGCAUAGCAUUUUGAAUGAUUUCCUUCUCCGUUAUUACUCGUUUUCCAUCUUCGUCAUGCAUUCCAAGCAAGAAACUGAUUAAGUCUUGGGGGGCAGAGGCUCCAUUUUGCUCCUGUUAAAUCUUCUUCAUGUGCACAAUCUCCUUCAACAUGUUCUGGAUCUUUGCACUUGCUCUGAGGCUGCGGUUGUAGCGAGUGAAAGGAACGUUAAGUGGGACUGACCACAUUCCUUCAACCAAUGCUUUGAAGGAAGUCAGGAAUUGAUCUUUGUUUUCCACGCUCAAUACCAAACAAAAGAGAGCAAAUUAUGUCGAAUGGGAGAGUCUUCAUUAGGGGUGAAACCUAUCAGAGAAAAUAAAAAUAAACAGUUACCAUUAUUCUUUCUCCAACUUUGGUUUGAUUCUAAUUAUCCCUUAAAAAUGAUAUAUUUAGCAGUUUGGACCAGUUUCUAUCUCAUCAGAAUCAAUUCUGGCAUCCAGAAGUCACGUCCUGAAACUUCUCCUCAAAAUUGAUUUAACUUUGGAAUCAUUUGUAAAGGGAUUUAACGUUUGAUUGCUAGGAUUUGCUUCUAUUCCCUAUCCUCAUGGCAUAGAGAUUUAAAUUUGCAGAAUCAUAUUUAAGGCUAUAAAUCUAAUUUGGAAUUUGUGUCACACUCACUCCAAUAAGACAAGUUAUAACUUUGAAUUUGUUAAUGUACUUGACUGCUACCGUUCCCCUUCUAAAAUAUAAAAGAAAGUAUGUUAGUAAUCCAGAAUUGUUGACACACUCAUACUAAUUCUUAAAAAGUACCUGUAAGUCACAAUUGAAUUUGUUAACAUACUCUCAGAUGGUGGAUGUUUACUAAGGCACUCAUUAAACAACGAUUUUAUUGUUGCUUUUGCAGGGGAGUAAAUUUCUGUUGGACAUAUAUUGAUAAAUUGUAAUUAAAAUUAGUUUUGUAACAUCAGGUUAGUUCAAAAUCAAUUUUCAAAACUCUAAUUCAAACAUCAGGUUAGUGUAUAUUUGGAUUUCUGUUGAAAUUAAUGUGAAUCCACGUCAAACUCAACAUGGUAAAAUUUUGCUUCUCCGAUUCACAUUGAACUUAAUAUGGCAAAUUUUAACUAACAAGUAGGCAUCCUGACGGGAGUUGGGUUUGGAGCCCCACCCCUUAGGCUUUGCACCCCAUUAAAACAGAUACGGAAUUUAAAUUUCCGUAUCAAUACGGAAUUCCGUAUUCAAUGUGGAGAAUACGGAACUUUAAAUUCCGUAUUUGAUAAAGUGGGGUGCCAAGCCCCAUAGGUGGGGUGCCAAACCCAACUCCCCAUCCUGACAUAUGUGAAAUCAUGUUUGCGUUUGGACCAACGCCAAAGCAUGUUAUAUCAUGUAUGAAUCAACUUCUUCUUCCUUAAAAUCAAUUAUGUCACCCAAAAGCUAAUCAUAGAAGCUUCUCCCUAAAGUUGAGUUUGGCUUCAGAAUCAAUUGUAGAAAAAUUUGCAAGCAUGCAUUUAACCUAACCUAUAUUAACAACUUACCUUGACCUGCUGUUUCCCUUGCCAAUUCAUCUCAAUGUGUCUCCUAACUUCUUCAUCCAUUUUCACAACAUAUCUUUUCAAGGAAUCUAGCUUCAAGAAUGAGACAAGUGCACCCCUGUCUCUGCUGUGAUCUACACCACUCAGUUCCAGCAAGCUCUUGUCACCCAAGAUCAUUUUCAUAGACUGUGUUUGCUGGUUAACAAUGGUGUCAACACCACUUGAGAACAUGAACUUGUUAGCAGCUUGUCCAUAGAUCAAAACUGUUGAUUUUCCAAAGAGGCUUAGCUUUGAAACAGGACCAUACUUCUUGAUUCUUUCUUCAACCCAUUUUUCUGCAGUGUUGUUUCGCACAGCACGAAGAAGGCCAAGGCUUUGACCAAUAAUUGAUAUUCCUAGAAUCCUAGUGAACCUGGAGGGACCCUUUGGCAUGCUUUGCUUCUUCUUAUAAGAAGAAAGAAAAUUGGGAUGAGUAAGAGGAAACUAACAAGAAAAACAUUCAUGGCUCAGUAGUUUCUUUUCAGGUUCUGAGAAAGACAAUGAAAGAGGGGGAGUCUGGUUAGUGGUUUAUGAUAUGGAGUGUUGAUUUUAAAAUAUAAGGUUUGGCUCCACGGUGAAAUGCUAUAAAAUCACUUCUUCUAGUUUCUAAGUAAACGUGUUUUGAAUUCUCCGUGAAACCAAACAUGCUAUAGUAGGAAUUGUCCUUUUACUUUAAUGCAAAAGACAAGUGCACCAAAGGAUCUGUCGUUUUCCUUUUUGUUGCAUUUGUGUAUCUGUUGUAAGCUUUGUCCUCUUCAUUAUAUUUGAUAUAGUUAGUUUAACAGUGGGAAGUUUCCUAAGUUAUUGUGUUGAAAUAUACAGUAAGUUUGAACAUUCCAUAAUUCCAGGGAGCUAUUUUGAACCGAAGAAAACAAGUAUUAUUACCUAAUAAUCCCACAAAAGUGUAACCAAAGUUGACAGCAGAUAAGUUGAAUCAAACAAAGACGGCAGAGCUGGAUCAUGGAGGGAUGAACUAACUGAUUUGAGUGUGUGUCAGCACAUUCAUAAUUCAUUGGUCUGAUCUGAUCUUGAUUCUAGUAACAAUUCUUUUAAACAUGUUUUCUUUCUAUUUAAUGUAAGAAUACUUUGAUGUGCAUCUCAAUUAUUUUUCUAUUUUUUCUUUACAAUCAGAUCAAGGAAAAAUUUCUCAUGUCAAGAUAGUCUGGAAAUACCAGAAAUUGGGAGAGGCUGGCACAAUACAAAAGAAAGAACCAUUAUGUCUAAACCACUAAAAACGAUUGUUCAUUUUCUAAUCCCUAUGAGGAAAUUAUUGUUUAUUUUCUAAUCCCUUUGAAUACAUUACAAGCUAGUUAUAUUUAAGAGAAAGUUUACAUCACAAGUUUCAUAAUUAGAUCAGCACAACAAGUAUCGUUAGUUAUAUUAUUCAGAAAGUUAACAUGACACGUUUCAUAAUUAGAUCAGCACAAGUAUUGUUGGCUAUGUUUCGAUAUCCAUUGGUUCCGAUGCAAAUGAACAUUAACACGAACUUCAAAGAAAAAAUUGAACACAACUCUUACGUAUUGUGGUGAGAAUUUGUUUACAUUACACUACAACUGAUAACCAAACAUAAAAGACAUAAAGCCAGCUAUAUUUUAGUUCCUGAACAGAACCUAAUCUAAAUGUUGACAAUGUAAUUUAUUCAGAUUUCAGAUGAAAGGUAGAAGAAUCACACCAAGCAAAUGAAAAUUUGCAGAGUAAUCGAGUAAUAAGUUUCAAUACAUUUCAUUUGGAAUUUUCGUCAAGUUUAUCAAUCAUUCAACAAAUAAGACCCGAUAUUGCAUAUAUAGUGCAACCUCAAUGCUACAAGAAGAGAAAGGAAAGAAAAAAGGAAAGGUGCUGCUUAAAGAUUGAUGCAAGAAUGCCCACUUCUCCUACAUAUAUGAAGACAACAAGAACAACAACUAUCUGUUCCACACUCUGACAUCACUAAGUAUACAAACAAGUACAAUCAGAUAUCUCAACCAUCUAAGGUGUGUAGGUAGCACAAUGUAUCUGUAUUAGUAAGAAAAUAUGAGAUAUACAUCAUGUUAUCAUCAGUCAGCCUUGGCAGGUAGAUGGUUGCCACCAGUUGCUAGUUUGUAGAGAUAAAACAAAGUCAUGAGACCACUGCACGAAAAAGAAAGGCAAAUGUCUUAACUCCAGAUAACACCAUAUAUUGCUCUUCUUAUGAUUAAGCAGUAGUUAGAAAUAACAAGCAACCUAACUUGCAUAAAUGUCUACAAAUGCGUAUAUCAAAGGUUAGCAUACAUGAAAAUCUGUUUAGUACAACAGUGGAUAAAUUAUUGUCUUAAUAGAAUAGUUUUCAGAUGUUGUAGUUGCCCCCCUCAAACUUUUAUACUGUAUCUUCCAAUUAGCUACUGUAGAUGUUACUUAAUGCAUUAAUUUUUUUGCCCCAUGUUACCCAUUUUCCUGGUUCCAUCUAAGGUGACAGAUGUCGAGCAAUUGGACAAACUAUAAGCCAAGUAAUGGCUGCUACUAGCGCUUGAUUCCAAAUCCUAUUUGGAAAAAUAUAUAUAGAAAACUGAGAAGUUAAAACAAAUUUUAGAGGAACUUGCACAUAACAAGUUUGGGGUAAUAAUAGCUGACUAAAAUGUUUCUUGUUGAAACAAAUGAAAUGGUGAAGCCUUCACCAUUUAGAAAGUUUAAGAGAUGAAACUUAUUUACAUGGAUGUAUAAUGCAGUUACUUUUCACAAAAGAUAUGUUCAUGGAUUUACAAUCCACAAGCUAAGAACACCAAUCCAAUAACUAGAUCUUAAAAAUCUAAACUCAAUUCCUAGAAAUCUGUGUGAGAAUUGAGAAAAGAAUCAUAUACGUUCAGAAUAUGAGCUUUGGCUAUCUCUAAUCAACCCUUGACUUACCUGAUUCCUGCAACAACACCAGCAGGCAUAACCUUGGACGUUUCCAUGUAACGCUGCCCCAUGACCCAAGUUAGAGCGGUUGCGCAAACUGUUUUGCAGGACAAAAUUAGUACAAAGAAGAGAAAAUCAGUGUAGCAAAUAUGGACUAUAAAUUACCAGAGCAUUCAAUUCAAUGCAUUAAAAGACCUAAUUUUGAAUCCUAAACCAGUGACCCUCUUAGAAAAUUAGAUUAAACACAGAAUCAAAAUCGAAGGACACAAAAUUAGUACAAACAAAGCAGAGAAAACUAGUGCAGCAAACAUGGACUAUAAAUACCAGAGCACUCAGUGCAUUAAAAGAUCUAUUUUUGAAUCCUUAACCAGUGACCCUCUUAGAGAAUUAUAUUAAACACAGAGAACCAAAAUCUAAGGACACAAAAUUAGUACAAAGAGAAAACUAGUGUAGCAAACAUAGACUAGAACUACCAGAGCAUUCAAUUCAAUGCAUUAAAAGAUCUAAUUUUGAAUCCUAAACCAGUGACCCUCUUGAAAACUAAAACUAGUGUAGCAAACAUGGACUAUAAGUCUAUAGCUACCAGAGCAUUCAAUGCAUUAAAAGAUGUAAUUUUGAAUCCUUAACCAGUGAUCCUCUUAGAAAAUUAGACUCAACACAGAGAAUCAAAAUCUAAGGACACAAAAUUAGUACAAAGAAGAGAAAACUAGUGUAUCAAACAUGGACUAUAACUAUAGAGCACUCAAUGCAUUAAAAGAUUUUUGAAUCCUUAACAAGUGACCCUAUUAGAAAAUUAGAUUAAACACAGAGAAUCAAAAUCUAAAGACACAAAAUUAGUACAAAGAAGAGAAAACUAAAACUAGUGUAGCAAACAUGGACUAUAAGUCUAUAACUACCAGAGCAUUCAAUGCAUUAAAAGAUCUAAUUUUGAAUCCUUAACCAGUGACCCUCUUAGAAAAUAAAAUCAAACACAGAGAAUCAAAAUCUUUGGACACAAAUUAGUACAAACCACAAAACCAAUGUAGCAAACAUGGACUAUAACCACCCCAUCAUUCAAUACAUUGAAAGAUCUAAUUUUGAACCCUUAACCAGUGACCCUUUUACCAAUUUUGCUAGAUCAAACAGAAAGAAUCACAAUCCAACAUUUUCAACACCAUCUAAACCAGAUCAAAUCAUAAAAAAUAAAAAAUAAAAAAUCUAAUUAGAAACACCCUUGUACGAAACAGAGCAAAAUCAUGAAAUCUUGUAUACACACCGGUCUCAAGAAACAGAGCAAAGUAAGAGUUCUUCCGUUUGCCGAAGGCAUUGAGACUGAUGUAUCCAGCGACGAUGAGGAGCAAACCAGAGACAACGCCUCCGAGCAGAGAAGGGAUGCUUCCUUUGUGGAUGUACCCGAAUGCUCCACCACCUACCAACAGCAACCCGUAAGGAAUCGUGAAGCAGAAAUCGUGCAUUGUCUGUGAUUUUCCGGGAAAANAAGAGAAAGAAAAGGAAAGUGAGAAGGCGCGUGGAAUGCACAAGUCAAUGCCAAUAUUCAUUUACUUUGUCUCCGUAUUACUAUUUGCCCCUUGACUACCAUGUAAUUUCGCUUUCACCAUUGCCCUUGUAAGAGUAACGAGUUAUUUAUUUUGAUUCUAGUAUUGAGGAUUGAAUGAGAGAGAAAUAAAUAUUAUUUUAUUUAAAAUCUCACUUGUGAGAGUAACGAGUUAAGACACAGAUCUUAGCUUUUGUUAAGAUCGAUCUUAUGUCAUAUAUAAUACCUCCAAUGUUAAGAUUUAAUAAGAUCCGGAUUUUAUUUUAAGAUCUCAAUUUAAGAUCUUCAUUUGAGAUGUUCUAAGCGAAUUUAAUUUUAGUCUCUCGAUGAAAAAAUGAAGUUUAGUGGUAAUCAUUUUUAUAAUUAAUGGUUGCAAUUUUGUACCGAGACGUAUCCACCACAAUUUUGUGUCAGAUAUAUUUCUGUCACAAUUUGUGACGGAUUUGUUUUCGUCACAAACAGGCUGACAAGGAUUUUGUGACGGAUUCAUCUUCCAUCGCAAAGAAUCAAUUUCUCUCUGAAACCAUGUUGAUGUCCUAUUUUCUUUUUUGUAAAUAGUUUUAAUUUUAUAUUAUUUAAAAAAACACCUCUGAAUCUUCAACGGUGGGCCGUCACCUUAAAUGGUGCUUGUUUGCUUAUUGUAACUGUAGCACUGACAGAGCAGAAGCAGAACGCUUUGGUUAUGAACAUGCACAGUUUGAGCUCAUCUCUAAACUUCAUUCUAAUUUUGUACCAAGUUAGCGUUUAAGCAUCCAACUUCCAGCAAAGAUUAUCAUAUUCACCACUAAAAUUGACGAGGUAAUUUUAUUUCUUUAUUAUUCAUUUAUUUUCUAAACCAAAACUCGUAUUUGACCAGUCAUAGUGAUUGUUGACUUUCUUGUUGUUUUAUAUGAUUCCUACUCAGAAAGAGUAGAAGGAUCUCCAUCGUUUGUGCCUGCUGCAACAUCUUCGAGUGAGUUCAAAUUCCAUUCAUUUCUCUUUGCAUAUCUUCCUUUCAUUGACUCUGCUACUGAUUAUGUGAUUGUGUUUUAUAACAUGAACAAUGCGGUAAACGCUUAUUGCCAUAAGUGCUUAAAUAAGUUGUUUUCCCAAACACAUCCUUAAUUAAUAUAGGAAGUCGAAUAAAAUUGAUAGUAGAGGUAAACAAUCUUGUUGUCCUUACCUUCUAGGCAUAUAUAGUAACAGAUUUUUCUUUGCUAUGACCCUAGUGAGCGACACUGAAACCAUGCCUAAGUAUUAUAUAUCUUCUCUCAAAUUCUGUUUCAUUUUUGUCUUGCACUUUAACUCAUUCACUUUCAUUGAUUUGUUGCAUAAAAUUUUUCCAUUAAGAAUUGUCAGAAUUAAGUGUGAAAUUGAUUGAUUUCCACUUUUCCAGGUUACCUUUUGGUUAGAUGGAAUCAUUGAUAUACUGCAUUGAGAAAAUCCUACAUGGUCCUAUCCAUAGGUUACGUCUUCUUUUUAUAAUGAAAAAGGUGGACAUCGCAAGGGAGAAGCUAAUUUUAAAUCGAGAACUGUUGAAGGAAAAGGUUGAAGCUAUAGACAAAACAGAAAAAGUCAAUGAUGCUGUUCUGGAGUGGCUAGAAGAAAUGGAGAAAGUCAGAGAAGAGGAGCUAUCUGAAUUAGAAGCGGCGAUUACUGAUAGGUCCAAUUGGAUCAGUCCUGAUACUGAGAGGAUGCUUAGGUUGUACAAUGGAUUGCUAGAUAAAAUGAAGAUACUGAAUUCAAAAUGUGUAUUCGAGGCAUUUUCCAACCCAAUUCCAGGUUUAGAGUACUUCUCUUCUAGACAUUUUGCAUGUUUCGAGUCCACAAAAGAGACGUCAGAUCAACUUAUGGAAGCAAUGCAAGAUGAUAGUAUCCAUAUCAUUGGAUUGUAUGGGAAGCAAGGUUCAGGUAAAACAAAAUUGGUAGAAGCAGUGGGUAAGAAAGCCAAGUACUUGAAUAUUUUUAAUGAAGUUGUAUUUGCCACUGUGUCCCAAAAUACAAAUAUUGUUUGGAGGAUUCAGAACCAAAUUGCUGACUUGUUGGAUCUGAAAAUUGAAAGACAUUCUGAAGCUGCGAGAGCGAGAACAAUCUAUUCGAAAAUUGAAAGUAAAGGUCGAGUUCUUGUUAUCUCGGAUGAUGUUCGGGAAAAGCUUGAGCUGGAGAAUAUAGGUAUUCCUAUUAAUGGUAAUUGGUGCAAAGUACUUUUGACCACACGUCGCCAACAAGAAUGCACCUCGAUGGAUUGUCAAAGAGAGAUUCCUUUGCAUCCCUUGUUUGAAGAGGAAGCUUGGACUUUGCUCAAAAAAUAUUCAGGCAUAGAUGAUGAGUCAUCGUCUGCCCUAUUAACUGUGGCACAAGAAGUUGCUAACGAAUGUAAAGGGUUACCCAGUACAAUUAAAGAUGUGGGAUCUUCCUUAAAAGGUCACCCCGUUGAGGAGUGGAAAGCAGUCUUAGGCAGUUUGAGACAUUCAAGGGCUCGCUACCAAAUUUUCCUCAGCUUUAGGGGAGAUGACACUCGCUACUCUUUCACAGGUUCUCUCUUUGAUGCUUUGUGUCGAGAGGGGUUCAAGACAUUCAUGGAUGAUGGGGGAUUGGAGAGUGGUGACCAGAUUUCACUAUCUCUAAUAAACGCAAUUGAAGCAUCAAGGCUUUCCAUUGUUGUUCUUUCUGAAAAUUAUGCAUCUUCCUCAUGGUGCCUUGAGGAACUUGUCACGAUCCUUGACUGUAUAAAGAAGAAGAAUCAGUUAGUUUGGCCAAUCUUUUACAAAGUGGAUCCAUCAGAUAUAAGGCAUCAGAAAAGUAGUUAUGGAAAAGCCAUGGCUAAACAUGAAAGUAGACUUGUGAAUGAUUCAGAGAAGGUGCAAAGAUGGAGGUCAGCUUUGUCUGAAAUUGCUGGCUUGUCUGGAAUGCAUUAUAAUACUGGGUAUGUGGUUUACUCUUAAACAUUUUUUUUGUGAAGUUCCAUGUUUUUACGUUACGUUCCAUAUUUAAUAUCUAGUCUACUAGCACUAGUGGUUAAUUACUUUCAUUUUUAAGCUCGGUGAAAGGUUUACCAUGAAUCUAGUCUUCUAAUUGUCACUUUAAAGGUGACUUUCUGAUCUGUAAUCUUUUUUUAGUUUCAAUGCGGUUUUGUAUUUUGUGUGACAAGUUAUUUUUGUGUAAGAUUAAUAAGUGAGGCUUUUAUUUUUCAUAUUUUUUUAAUGAUAUAGAUUCUGAAUAAUGGAAAGACAAUGCAAAAAUUGUGCAGAAGUGAAUUAAAAUGCCAUGUACUCUUGCAGGUAUGAACAUAAAUUUAUUCAGACGAUUGUGGAAAGGGCCAAGAAUAAUAGAAAUCGCUUGUAUGUACAGAGCACAGAUAUGGACUAGAAGGAAGACUUUGGUUUCUCAUAAGGUGCUGCUAAUCACAUAAUUGAUCACAAGUGUUUGCUAGCUUAGAAAUGGAUGACGAUUCUUAAUGUGUGUAAGUAGUAGGAAGUAGUUUUGGACACAUUGUAUAUUCAGAAAUGGAUUAAGGCCCCGUUUGGAUAAACAGCUUAAUUAAGCGCUUAUGGUCAUAAGCGUUUAUGUCAUAAGCGCUUAUUCAUAAGCUAUUUUUAAAAAUUUAUUGAAAUAAAUAUGGCAGACCAUAAGCUGUUUGCAUAAGCUCUCCCAAACACUGGCAUAAGUGCUUAUGCUGUCAGAUAAGCUCAAAUAAGCUCUUCCAAACUGGGCCUAAAUACAAUUCAGGUGAUUUUGUGAUGUGAGAAUUUUGUGGGUAUUCUUCUUCUCUUUGGUAAUUUUGGAUUGUCUAAGAAAUGGAUGGCGGUUUUAAUCUGUAUGUUGUUUUUUGGUACAAAUUGUAAUGUGUAUGCUAAGUAGAAGGAAGUAGUUUUGGACAGUUUUAAAGUAAAUUUCCAUAACUGCAUAAGCUAGUGGCUGCCAUUUCUAAUGAACAAACAGAUAAGUUUUUCUCAACUCCUAGGGACUAACUACUACAUUGUCUGAAAUCUAAUCCCCUCCAUUUUAUAAACAGAUCCAAGUGCAUGUAGAAAUCACUAGCAGUAACUGUGCCAAGGGAUUUAAACCAGUAAAAUUCCAAUGUCAAGGAUCUCCUUUGCUGUCUUUGUGAUCAAUAAUCAAUCCCAUCAUACAACUAUUAUAAAAAAUAUCCGGCGUUAUUGUGGUGAGACCAAGAUUUAUCGGAUUAGUUUUAGUGAGAAAUCUGUGCUUUGAACUUCAGAAACAUAAUUAGGUUGUUGAAGUAAUAUGCUAAUAAAACAGCUUAUUAGAAACAUAUUUAUAAACUUAUAUAUUAGUUAUUGUAUCUUAAUCUUAGUUUAAAGUUAUUGUAUAUUAAUCUUAAUUUGUAAACCAUAAUCCACAAGACUUGGUCAGAGUACCAACUUAAAGGCCAAAGCACCUAUCAGCAAAAACAAAGGUUGGAGGAAAUAAAGUCAAUCACAAAAGGCAUUUUCUUUUGCUAAGAUUGUUUGUUAAAAGGAAUAUUUUAAUUGAGUUUUAUAAGGGCCUUAGUUGGAAGGUAAGUAUAAUUGAAUGCCACCCACAUGGUCUUCUUAAAUCUUAGCUUCAAUAUUUUGUUGCUUGUCACUUGCUCUCUUUAAGUCAUUACCUCACUCUUUGGGAUAUAGUAAUAAGCUUUAUUGAUGAUGAUCAUAGAUAUGUUAAGCCUGAUUGAUUUCACUAUUCUAUGCUACAGAGUUGUUACAUCGUGUUGGUAUAGAGUUAUUUAUUCAACACUGCAAAUAUUUGCUGCUCAGUUACUUGUUGAUAUAUAUAUUUAUAUUCCUCAUCCUAGGUCGUUCAUCAAAAUUUAUACAAUAUUUUCUGAUAUAUAAAUACUUCUUGUCUUGCUUUGAACUAUUGACAACUUCUUUAUUUGGCCCCCAGACUGUGUAUGCACCUGUAUUUAAAAAAUUUGUACGGGUACAUGAUAUACCUUGUGCUUGUCACUUGCUCUCUUUAAUUACCUCAUUUCUUUUGGUAUCAAUUUCAGCUGUAUUAACUCAUUACCUCACUCUUUGGGAUAUAGUAAUAAGCUUAAUUAAUGAUGAGCAUAGAUAUAUAUGUUAAGCCUGAUUGAUUUUAUUUAUUCUAUGCUACAGAGUUGUUACAUCGUGAUGGUACAGAGUUCAUUAUUCAACGCUGCAUUAUUUGCUGCUCAGUUGCUUGUUGAUAUUUUUAUAUUCCUCAUUCUAGGUUGUUCAAUAAAAUUUAUACUAUUAUCUGAUAUAUAUGUAUAUAUAUAUAUAAAUUACUUCUACUCUUGCUUUGAAGUUUGAACUAUUGACUACUUUUUAAUUUGUCCCGGCCCAGAUGUGUACGCAAAUUAUAUGUAUAUACAAAAAGACCAGACUCGAAAGAACAUUAAAAAAGAAGACCAUGCGGCUAUGUAGGUGAAAAAUAAAUAAAAUAUACUAACACCUACAGAACAGAAGGUCUUGGUUAACAAGUAUAAGAGCAUGAACUUAACAGAGUCUGAGAUCAUCUCUAUACUUCAUCCUAAAUGAUAACUAGGCACCAAAUUAAAUCAGCGUUCAAGCAACAAUCUUUGCAGGAUUAUCAUUCACCAUUUAAAUUUUAUCUAUACUUCCAGUAAGAAGUUUGGCUGAAGCACUCAGCCAAAUCAAUCUCAGUGAUUGUUGUUGACUUUCUGGUUGUCUGAGAAAGCAACUGUCUUCAAGUGAGUUAAAAUUUCAUUCACUUCUCUUUGCAUAUCAUUCAACAUCACAAAUUUUCCUUCUUUUAACACUAAUAAUUCCGUGAAUUGUCUUUAGCAUGGAAAUAGUCUAAGAUAGAUUGACAUACCUAUGAUUUAGUCUAUAUUGACGGUUGGACCAACGUUGUUCACGAAGUGUUAGGUGAGGGAUGAUUUUUGUAAUUAAAUUAGGUGAGGGACCAAAAUCGUGGCUUUUGUAAAUGUCAGGGACCAAAGUUGCAAUUAAGCCUUAUAUUUAUUUUGCUCUUGCCUUAUGGGCACAAUAACAACUUUUUCUUUGCUCUGGUUCUAGUGACAGCAUGCCUAAGUAUUAAAUAUAUUUUCUCUUAUCUGUUUCAUUCCUAAUCUUGCACUUUAAAUCAUUCACCUUGUUUUGAAUUGUUUCAUAAAAAUACGCCGUUGAGAUGUGUCUGGAUUAAGUGUUAAAUUUAUUAUUUUCCAGGUAACUUUUGUUUAAAUUAAAUGGAAGAUACACUUUUCUUGCCCAUCAAGAUAUUGAUACGUGAUGGAAUGUAUAUGGUUUUUGUAAACAAAAUCAUUGAAAACGUGGACAAUGAAAUGGAAAAGUUGAUUUCAAAUCGAGGUUUUGUGCGGCAAAAGGUUGAAGCUACAAACAAAGCAGAAAAAGUCAAUGAUGCUGUUCCAGAGUGGCUAAAAGAUGCAGAGAAACUCAUAGAAGAGGAGGAGAAAUUUGAAAUAGAAAUGGAUACUGAGAGAUCCAAUAACUGUUUUACAGGGCCAUUUUGUGUUUUUGGUAGUGAGAGGAGAUACAAGUUGUACAGUGAAAUGCUAGAGAAAAUGAAGACACUAAAUACCAAAUGUAAUUUUGAGCCAUUUUCCAGCCCAAUUCCAAGUUUAGAGUACUUCUCUUCUGGAUAUUUUGUGUCUUUUGAGUCCACAAAAAAUACCUCGGAUCAACUUAUGGAAGCACUACAAGAUGAUAGGAGUCGUGUUAUUGGAUUGUAUGGGAAGCAGGGCUCUGGUAAAACAAAAUUGGCAGAAGCAGUGGGUGAGAAAGCCAAGUAUUUAAAUAUUUUUAAUGAAGUUGUUUUUGUCACAGUGCCCCAAAAUUCAAAUACUCUUUGGAGUAUUCAAGACCAAAUUGCGGACUCGUUGGAUCUGACAUUUGACAGAAAUUCUGAACUUGCAAGAGCAAAGGCGAUAUCUUCAGAGAUCAAAAAUAAGGAUCGAGUUCUUGUUAUCUUGGAUGAUGUUCGGGCAAAGCUUGAGCUAAAAGAUAUAGGUAUUCCUAUUAAAGGUAAAUGGUGCAAGGUUCUUGUGGCCACACGCCAUCAACAAGAAUGUACCUUGCUGGAUUGUCAAAUCGAGAUUCCUCUUCAUCCAUUGUCUGAAGAGGAAGCUUGGACUUUGCUCAAAGGAUAUUCAGGCAUAGAUGAUGAGUCCUCCUCCGACUUAUUAAAUGUGGCACGAGAAGUUGCUAAUGAAUGUCAAGGGUUACACAGUAGAAUCAAAGAUGUGGGAUAUUCAUUUAAAGGUCAAUCCAUUGAGGAGUGGAAAGCAUUGUUAGACAGUUUGAGACAUUCGGCUCGCUACCAAAUCUUUCUCAGCUUUCGGGGAGAUGAUACUCGCUACUCUUUUACAGGUUCUCUCUAUGAUGCUCUUUGCAAAGAGGGAUUCAAGACCUUCAUGGAUGAUGGUGGGUUGGAGAGUGGUGAUCAGAUUUCGCUUUCUCUUACAAGUGCAAUUGGAGCAUCAAGGCUUUCCAUUGUUGUUCUAUCUGAAAACUACGCAAGUUCCUCUUGGUGUCUUGAGGAGCUUGUCAACAUCCUUGAGUGUAAGAAGACGAAGAAUCAGUUAGUUUGGCCAAUCUUUUAUAAAGUGGAUCCAUCAGUUAUAAGACAUCAAAAAAGUAGUUAUGAAAAAGCCAUGCUUGCACAUGAAAAUAGACUUGGGAAUGAUUCUAAGAAGCUGCAGAGAUGGAAGUCAGCCUUGUCUGAAAUUGCCGGCUUGUCUGGAAUGGAAUAUAGUACAGGGUAUGUGGUUUACUUUUAAAUUUUUUAGUUAAGUUGAUAUUACUUAAUUUCUUAAGCUNGUCUUCUAGUUAUCAUUUUAGAGGUGUCUUCGCUAAUAGGAAUGUUUUUAGCUUCAAUGUGAUUUUGUAUUUUUUUGUUACAAUGUGUGUUUAUCUGAGAUUAAUUAGUCAAAAGCUUAUUUUUUUCAUAUUUUUUAAUGAUAUAAAUUUUGAAUAAUCAAAAGACAGUGGAAGCUUUGCGCAUGAGUGAAUUAAAAUGUUUUGUAUUCUCGCAGGUAUGAACAUAAAUUUAUUCUAAGGAUUGUGGAAAGGGCCAAGAAUAUUAAAAGUAGUUUAUAUGUACGGAGCAUAGAUAUGGAGUAGAAGGAAGAACUUGGUUUCUCAUAAGUGCUGCUGAAGACAAAAUUGAUAGAAUAGGAUAUUAUUUAUUCUCUNNNNNNNNNNNNNNNNNNNNNNNNNNNNNNNNNNNNNNNNNNNNNNNNNNNNNNNNNNNNNNNNNNNNNNNNNNNNNNNNNNNNNNNNNNNNNNNNNNNNGCAUCUGAGAUGUGCCAUAUUGUCAUAGCAGAUCUGCAUGAAUGUUGAUGAGAGGUCAGCCAGCACAGACAGCAACAUUUUGAUGAUUCCUCUCAGUAUACUUGUUUCCAUUUUGUCAACAUGCCAACAAGCAGUGAUAGGUCUUGGUGGGCAGAGGCUCCAUUUUCUCCUGUCAAUCUUCUUCAUGUGCACAAUCUCCUUCAACAUGUUCUGGAUCCUUGCACUUUCUCUGAGGCUGCGGUUGUAGCGAGUGAAAGGAACGUUAACUGGGACUGACCACAUUCCUUCCAUCAAUGCUUCGAAUGAGGUUAGGAAUUGAUUUCUUUGUUUUCCACGCUCAAUACCAAACAGAAGAGAGCAAAUUAUGUUGAAUGUAAGCUUCUUCAUUAGGGGUAAUACCUAUCAGACAAAACAAAAAUAAAUAGUGGCACCAUAUUCUUUUUCCAACUUUGGUUUGAUUUUAAUUAUCCCAUAAAAAGAUUAUGCUUAGCAUGUUUGGACUAGUUUCUAUUUCCUCAUAAUCAAUUAUGGCAUCCAUAAAACACUCAAAGAAGCUUCUCCUCAAAAUUGAUUGUCUUUGGAAUCAAUUGUAAGACAUUAAUGUCCCAUUGCUUGAUUUGCUUCUUUUCCCUCUCCACGUGGCACAUACAUUGGUAUAUGCAGAAUCAUAUGUAAGGCUAUAAAUCUAAUUUGGAAUUUAUGUCACUCCAAUAACGUAACAACUCUGUCUAUAGUUAACAAUUUCAUUACAACAUUCAUUUUACAUGAAAACUGUGGUUUUGUUGCUAACUUGAAAAGCAACAUUUCGUUGCUUUUGAAGGGGAGUAAAUUCUGUUAGACGUAUAUUUACAAGUUCUGACUACAAUUAGUUUUAUAGUACCAGGUUAAUUCAAAAUCAUUUUUCCAAAAUCUAAUCCAAACAUACACUCACACUGUUUAGUUUGUAUUCAGAUUUUCGCUGAACUUAAUGUGAAUUCAUGUUAAACUCAACGUGUUCAAAUCUUGGUUCUCCGAUCCAUAUUUGAAAUACUUAAAAUUACGUUUGCGUUUGGACCAAUGCUAAAACAAGCAUACACUUAGAGCAUGUUUGGAUUAACUUCUUUUUCCUCAAAAUCAAUUUUGGAAUUGAAAAGCUACUCAUAGAAGCUUCUCCCAAGAAUUGAUUUUGACUUCAGAAUCAAUUGUAGAAGGAUUUUAAAGCACGGAAUUAAUCUUACAUAUAUUAACAACUUACCUUAACCUGUUGUUUCCCUUGCCAAUUCAUCUCAAUGUGUCUCCUAACUUCUUCAUCCAUUUUCCCUACAUAUCUCUUCAAGGAAUCUGGCUUCAAGAAUGAUAUAAGUGCACCUCUGACUCUGCUGUGAUCUACACCACUCAGUUCCAGCAAGCUCCUGUCACCCAAGAUCAUUUUGAUGGACUGUGUUUGCUGGUUAGCAAUGGUGUCACCACCACUUGAGAACAUGAACUUGUUA
rnacentral:lncRNA from 1 species